AACGCGAAGAACCUUACCUGGGCUUGACAUUUAGGGAAAAGCCGUAGAGAUACGGUGUCCUUCGGGGUCCUAAACAGGUGGUGCAUGGCUGUCGUCAGCUCGUGUCGUGAGAUGUUGGGUUAAGUCCCGCAACGAGCGCAACCCUUGUCCGAUGUUACCAGCGGGUUAUGCCGGGGACUCGUCGGAGACUGCCGGGGUCAACUCGGAGGAAGGUGGGGAUGACGUCAAGUCAUCAUGCCCCUUACGUCCAGGGCUGCACACAUGCUACAAUGGCCGGUACAACGGGCUGCUAUCCCGCGAGGGGGAGCCAAUCCCAAAAGCCGGUCUCAGUUCGGAUUGCAGUCUGCAACUCGACUGCAUGAAGUCGGAGUCGCUAGUAAUCCCGGAUCAGCAACGCCGGGGUGAAUACGUUCCCGGGCCUUGUACACACCGACAUA
rnacentral:rRNA from 1 species